UGUAUUGGACUACCAUGGCUUUCACGGGUAACGGAGGAUUAGGGUUCGAUUCCGGAGAGGGAGCCUGAGAAACGGCUACCACAUCUAAGGAAGGCAGCAGGCGCGUAAAUUACCCAAUCCUGACUCAGGGAGGUAGUGACAAGAAAUAACGGGUCGGGGCAUUUGCCUCGGGAUUGCAAUGAAUCGAAUUUACACCCCUUAAUGAGGAUCAAUUGGAGGGCAAGUCUGGUGCCAGCAGCCGCGGUAAUUCCAGCUCCAAUAGCGUAUAUUAAAGUUGUUGCAGUUAAAAAGCUCGUAGUUUGAUUUCUGGACGGGCGCUGACACCCGCUUGUUAGUGAGGAGGAGGCGCCCGCCCAUCCUUCUGUUAACGCCAUCGGCAUUCAUUUGCUGGCGGCGGGCUCAGAUAUUUUACCUUGAGAAAAUUAGAGUGUUUCAGGCAGGCUUGCGCCUAGAUACAUUAGCAUGGAAUAAUAGAAUAGGACUUUGGCCUCUUCUGUUGGUCUGAGGGGUUAGAGUAAUGAUUAAUAGGGAUAGUUGGGGGCAUUAGUACUUAACUGCUAGAGGUGAAAUUCUCAGAUUUGUUAAAGACUAACUUAUGCGAAAGCAUUUGCCAAGGAUGUUUUCA
rnacentral:rRNA from 1 species